rnacentral:rRNA from 1 species
UACGUAGGGUGCAAGCGUUGUCCGGAAUUAUUGGGCGUAAAGAGCUCGUAGGCGGUUUGUCGCGUCUGCUGUGAAAACUCGGGGCUUAACUCCGGGCCUGCAGUGGGUACGGGCAGACUAGAGUGCGGUAGGGGAGACUGGAAUUCCUGGUGUAGCGGUGAAAUGCGUAGAUAUUGGGAGGAACACCAGUGGCGAAGGCGGCUCACUGGACCGGAACUGACGCUGAUGCGCGAAAGCGUGGGGAGCAAACGGG